UGCCAGCAGCCGCGGUAAUACUGAAGGUGCAAGCGUUAAUCGGAAUCACUGGGCGUAAAGCGCUCGUAGGUGGCUUUGUAAGUCAGAUGUGAAAGCCCACGGCUCAACCGUGGAAUUGCAUUUGAUACUGCAUCGCUAGAGUAUAGGAGAGGGAAGUGGAAUUUCUGGUGUAGGAGUGAAAUCCGUAGAGAUCAGAAGGAACACCGGUGGCGAAGGCGACUUCCUGGACUAUUACUGACACUGAGGAGCGAAAGCGUCAGUAUCGAGCCAGUAAGUCG
rnacentral:rRNA from 1 species